GCGAAGGAUGUGGGUCCACUUUAUUAGAUUCUCAGCCAGGAAUGCCAGAAGACAACCUUAAUUUAGACGGAUUGUUCGCACGAUGAUGUCAUACCAAUACAGUCAUAGCCAAUCAAUCCCUCAAGCUUGCAACGUCACUUUAUAAUUCACAAGUUGGCAUUCCUGAAAUACUGCAUGAUCAAGUGGAUGAAGCUUGUGGUUCAAGAGCCCUAAUGAAAAUUGAACGAGUUUGCUGGCAUUUUAAAUAUCACCUUCAAAGAAAUUACAGCUUCACUGAAACAAAGUUUUCUGCACCAGGGCACUCACUUGAGGAAAGAUGUGUUAAACAUUGUCCUAUUGCUAUAACAUGACAGAGGAAACAAUGUGGUUCUUUAUGAGUGCCUAGUACAAUGGGAUCCUGGUUCAUGACUGGGACUUCUAGUGACUAGAACAUAUAAACCAGUCAGUCAAUCAAAAACCCAACAUGACCUAGAGUUGCAGAACCAGACCCUACACUGAACAGGUCCUACAAUAUCCUUCACUUGCAGAAAAGCCAGCAGACAAGCUAUGAAUACAGCUAGACAUCUCAGGAUACUGAUGACACAAACCACUCGAGCUGUGUUCUUAAGUCCUAUGUAUUGUUUCCACAGAAAGAAAGAGUGAAAUAAACAGAAAUAUAUAUCCUUGUGAACACAUCUGCUCUCCUAACAGUGAUGCACAAGCAGUCGUACGCAACAUACAUUUCAAAACAGAGUUUAUCAGCACUAGCAAGUCUUGGUAAAGACAGAUUCAGUUAACUGUUAUUGCACUAUAAACCUGCUGAAAUUACAAAUGCCUGUACAUUAACCUGGACAACCUCAUCAUUACAAAUACACAGGCUGAUGCUGAUAGGUGUGGAAAGACCUCACCAGGGACUGACUUUACUGGACAAGCAAUUUAGGGAUAUUUGAUUUUUGAAAUUGGGAUUUGUACAUUGUACAAAAUACUUUUCUU